AUGUUUGAGCUUACCCCGAAAAAGAAAAACUUAAAGGUUUUAUUCCAGCAUGGGAAAAAAAAAUGUUUAAAUUACUUUCUAAAUAACAGUAAUAAUAAUUUGUUAAAAGAUAAUAUUAUGUCAAAAGUUAGUUUUUUUUUUAACAAAAAAAACAAUUCAAAAUUGUUACUUCAAUUAAAACCAUCAUCUAUUUUUUUUAAUUUAAAAAAAAAAGACACAGAUAAUAAAAAUUUGAACGAUAUACAUAGAAAUUAUACUCGAACAAGUAUACAUAAUCAUGAUGUAUAUACAGAUGUGUUUUAUAAUGAAAUAUUACUCUGUAUGAAUGUAUUACAUUUAAAAACAGAACAAGUAGAUAAUGAAUUAGUUAGUUUACAUAAUUAUUUUAAUCAAAUAAGAAGUGAUGUCGAUCCAUAUAUACUUUACGAAAAUAACUUAAAAAAUAUUAAUAAUGAAAUAGUUAAUAUUAUUAAAACAGAUUAUAGUAACAUAAAUGAAUUUGUAAGUUAUAUUAAUAUAAAUAAAGGAAAACAUUUUAGAAUUAUUUUAAGUAUAAUGUUAAAACUUAUUUUAUCUUAUAUUGAUACUGUACCAUUCAGAAAUUACUUUAAAUUCAGAAAUGGUAAUAGAAAUGGACAUAGAAAUGGACAUAGAAAUGGGAAUAGAAAUGUAAAUAAAAAUAUAUCCAACCAAAUUAGUUAUAAUGAAAAUAAUAUUAUUAAAAAUAAUUCAUUUAAAAGAAGUAUAGUUCAUUUAAAUUCACAAAAUAUAAAUAAUAUAUCAGAAAAAAAAAUUACUGAAAACCAAUGUAAAAUUAUAGCUGCCUCUGAAAUUAUUCAUAUGGGAUCUCUUUUACAUGAUGAUGUUAUCGACGAUGCAGAAAAAAGAAGAGGAGCUUUACCUUCACAUAAAAUAUAUGGAAAUAAAAUAUCUAUAUUAUCAGGUAUGGCAUUUCAAUUACAUGAUGAUUAUUUAGAUUAUAAAGUAGGAGAUGGUGAAAAUAAACCAAUAUUAGAUGAUAUAAGAAAUAAUAUAAAAACUGCUCCUUUACUAUUUAGUUAUAACUAUAACCCACAAGUUAUUUUAUCAUUAAUUAAUAAAAAAAAAUUAACAGAUACAGAUAUUGAAAAUGUAUUAUUUUAUAUUAACAAUACAAAUAGUAUGAAAAAAAAUCAACUAUGUUCAUUACUACAUAUGAAAAGAGCUUCUGAUAUAUUAUCAUCUCUUAUAGCUAACUGUAAAAUAAAUAAAAAUGUAACAAGAGCUAAUUCGCAAAAUUAUGAAAUCAACCAAAUUAAAGAAGCACUGACAAAUACUAUUUUGAAUGUGUUGACACGUAGUAAAAAGUGAUAAAAAAAAUAAAAAAAGCAUAAUAUCAAAAUUAUAC
rnacentral:lncRNA from 1 species